rnacentral:rRNA from 1 species
UACGUAGGGUGCAAGCGUUAAUCGGAAUUACUGGGCGUAAAGCGUGCGCAGGCGGUUGUGCAAGACAGAUGUGAAAUCCCCGGGCUUAACCUGGGAACUGCAUUUGUGACUGCACAGCUGGAGUGCGGCAGAGGGGGAUGGAAUUCCGCGUGUAGCAGUGAAAUGCGUAGAUAUGCGGAGGAACACCGAUGGCGAAGGCAAUCCCCUGGGCCUGCACUGACGCUGAUGUGCGAAAGCGUGGGGAGCAAACAGG